rnacentral:rRNA from 1 species
UACGGAGGGUGCAAGCGUUAUCCGGAUUCACUGGGUUUAAAGGGUGCGUAGGUGGGACUGUAAGUCAGUGGUGAAAUCUCCGGGCUUAACCUGGAAACUGCCAUUGAUACUAUAGUUCUUGAAUUUUCUGGAGGUAAGCGGAAUAUGUCAUGUAGCGGUGAAAUGCUUAGAUAUGACAUAGAACACCAAUUGCGAAGGCAGCUUACUACGGGAAUAUUGACACUGAGGCACGAAAGCGUUGGGGAUCAAACAGGA